ensembl:lncRNA
AAGUCGCGACUAGUAGCUUUUUCUUUUUCCAAAGAGUUAUUUUUGUAAAAGUAGGUUUCUUAUAUUGCAGCAGUUUGUUUAAAUGCGUUUUCUGAGGCGGAUUGAUGGAGGAACCCGAGUCACUGCAGUGAAAAGUUUAACCAGCGAAUAGAAACCGUGACAACUUUGGUUUUGCUGCAGUUUCCCAGAUUUAUUUACUUAUUUAACCUCACGGCAUCAAUUGGUUUCUAUUUAUUUCUGUUGAGCUCGAAAUUCAUUGCAAGACUUUUGCACUUUUCAUAUUCCCUAUAAUUCUAUUUAGAUUAUUCAUUUGCUCUUUAAAGACACAUGAAUAUAAUAAAUAAUUGGCUGAUUUAAUUAUCGUUUUAGGUUCUUAUUCCACAAUUAAGUAAUAAUAGCGUACUACAUUUAAAAUGCUAUUAAACGAGCAUAUUUCCAGCCCUACUAGUUUUUCAUUCACCACAGGAAGGAAACCAAAUGAACAAUACGGGUACGAUGCUUUAGGUUAAUACUACUAGUGGUGUGAGGGGGGUCACGGCCUCCCGCUUGAACCAAGGCAAUAUGUAUUUUAAAUUAUUCAAUUUCUAAGAGUGAUGUUAGAAUAUUUAUUUUGUGUUAUAUUCAUUUAUAUUAUAUAUAUAUUCAUAUUGACAUUAAAUGUGUUGUUUUAUAUUUUAGAGAUUUUAUUUGUUUGUUUUGCCUUCGUCGGUUCUUGGAAUUGACUUGAAGUACUUGAAGUACUUCAAUAUGAUCUAAUAUUCCUCACACAGUGAUUUAAACUAAGCUGGACGUUCAGUGGGGGGAUAUUCAGAGAAAAAGAGAAUCUUCUGAAUUAAAGUUGUAAAUUAACAAGAAAAAAGAGACAUCCGUCCACCAUAAGUCCAAACGGCGUCUCCCAGCGAGCCGCACAGAUGCAUUAUGGGUCCUUUUCCACUCCCCACGGAGCUCUUUACUGUGACUCAUUAAACCGACGACAUCAGAGAUUCAUCUCUCUCGACUGCCGUUUGACCCGCGUGUCGGUCGACCUUUGACCUCCAGUGGACACAAACAUUCCGCUGCAUGUCUUCAUGGGAGAAGAACGUUGCUAACUGGACACUUAAAGGAGGACUGAGACACGAUGACAUUUAAAGGAGGACUGAGACACGAGGACAUUCAGAGGAGGACUGAGACACGAGGACAUUCAGAGGAGGACUGAGACACAAGGACAUUUAAAGGAGGACUGAUACACGAGGACAUUCAGAUGACGACUGAGACACGAGGACAUUCAAAGGAGGACUGAGACACGAGGACAUUCAGAGGAGGACUGAGACACAAGGACAUUUAAAGGAGGACUGAUACACGAGGACAUUCAGAGGAGGACUGAUACACAAGGACAUUCAGAGGACGACUGAGACACGAGGACAUUCAAAGGAGGACUGAGACACGAGGACAUUCAGAGGAGGACUGAGACACGAGGACAUUCAGAGGAGGACUGAGACACAAGGACAUUUAAAGGAGGACUGAUACACGAGGACAUUCAGAGGAGGACUGAGACACGAGGACAUUCAGAGGAGGACUGAGACACGAGGACAUUCAAAGGAGGACUGAGACACGAGGACGUUCAGAGGAGGACUGAGACACGAGGACGUUGGACGGGCUGGUCUGUAGAGGCGUGAGUCCGUCUGACGAGGUGAAUAUUCCAAAGCGUUUAAGACUUUUGAAGGAACAGAGGAGGUUUAUUUUGCAAACCACAUCCUGUGGAUCUGCACGUUUCCCAUCAGCCACCUGGUACCAUCUCAAAUUCAGAUGAAAUGAAAAGUGCUUUUAAAAAAAGAAUCAUCUCGUAUUGUGACCGAUAUAUGCAAUAUAUAUUCUUUGUAUUUUUAUAACAUCUGUUUGUCCCAAAAAAAGGGAAUUCAAACACCCUGCAUACUUAAGAUAGUACAAAAUGAGUGUAGAACAAGUGUAGACUUUAGACUCCACACGUGGGCGAAAGUCCCCGGUUUGUUUCACCGUUCAAUCAUUUCCAAUAACGGCAAUAACGCGUCCGCGGGUCGAGAGAUGGCGCCGACGUGCAACCUGCCGACCCCCGCGAGGAGGAGCCGCCUCCGAGGUCUCAUGUAGCUCAAGUCGGUCCUGCUGGUUCCCAGUGAAGCCACCAGUUAGUGUACUGGGAACGUGCAAACCAUUGUUCUGCUUAUUAAUGUUGUAUUUAUUGGUGAAAGGGGCUUCCAGCUGUUAAGAUGCAGCUUUAAAUUUACCCAGAAACACUGUGUUCGCUUCCCGUCUGUGUGAUUUCACUGUAAAUACAUUGUACAUAAAGAGAUAAACAAAGAACAGCUGAAAUAGCUGUAUUUAUAACGAUAUGUUUUAUUUCUAUUGUUCUGUCAGACGUCAAAUAGCAAUAAACAUACACAGAGCACAGAGUUGACCUCCAAUAACCGUUUACUCCUCAUCUCCUCGUUUUGUCUGUUGAUAGACGCCAGAGCCAAACGGCCACGUCUUAAUAAUGAAACAGCAUCUCAUAACUACGUGUUACAUGAUAUCUGAUAACUGAACUUGUAAUUGUGAGUUGUUAUCUCAUUAUAAUGUCUUAAACACUCCCCCCUCUCCCCACUCUCCCCCCCUUCUCACGUUUCACUGCGCCUUCGUCUCGACUCUCCCGCCGUUUGGAAAUAUUAAAAUUCCUGCAGCUUGGCCCGCCGGUCCGAACCUGCUGAGCUGUUUUUUAUUGUUCAGACCUUCUUUUUUCCUUCCUGUCAUGUGACCGGGGGGGCGGGGGGAGGGGGGGGGGGGUGUAGCCCCGCAGCGGUGAGAUGUUCAGACCUGUACGAGGUUAAUGUUUUCUUCUCUGGAGGGGCUCAGAGAGAAGCUGAAUCCAGAGCCUGUAAUACGCUGUAUUACUUACAGUGAAGCUUUACGAGAAUACUUUAAGUCCAGUUUGUUAAUGAACUGACACGGAGCUGAAGUGAUGAUAUAUAUAUUUAGUGGCCAGGAGGUUGUGUUUUAAUAUUCAACGUGUUUGACUUGUGAGUUUUUAUUUGUUGCAACACUGAGCGAAGAGCGAAGGACGGACCUGCGGUGUCAUAAGUGGCCCGUGAGGCGUUGGGGAAAGACCACGAGGUUAAUAAACCUGAGAUAUAUUUCUCUACAUAAAAAUCUUGUCUGAUUCAAGUUAUUUUUUUGGAUUGUUUGGCUGGUUUUCACUUUCAUGUCCUCGCCAAAGUCCUCCAUCAUCAUCAUAACGGGUUUGUUAAAGGACGGCUCGCCUUGAAGGAUCGACUGGAAUGUUUCUGUCUUGAAACAAAUACUCACAUGCGCCACCAAAAAAACGUGACUUAACUGAACGAAAAACUUCCUUUAGCUGACUGCCUUGUGACCUCUGACCUCUGAGAGUCCAAAGGAAAGGUAAUGAUUG